rfam:Schistocephalus solidus strain NST_G2 genome assembly, scaffold: SSLN_contig0006421
GAGCCCGUGGCUCAAUAGUAGAGCAUUCGACUCAAAUUCCAAAUACCACGGGUUCG